rnacentral:rRNA from 1 species
UACGUAGGGUGCGAGCGUUAAUCGGAAUUACUGGGCGUAAAGAGUGCGUAGGCGGUUUCUCAAGUCCGCUGUGAAAUCCCCGGGCUCAACCUGGGAAUGGCAGUGGAAACUAGGAGACUUGAAUCUGGCAGAGGGGGGUGGAAUUCCACGUGUAGCAGUGAAAUGCGUAGAGAUGUGGAGGAAUACCGAUGGCGAAGGCAGCCCCCUGGGUCAAUACUGACGCUCAUGCACGAAAGCGUGGGGAGCAAACAGG